CGCACGACUCUCGGCAACGGAUAUCUCGGCUCUCGCAUCGAUGAAGAACGUAGCGAAAUGCGAUACCUGGUGUGAAUUGCAGAAUCCCGCGAACCAUCGAGUCUUUGAACGCAAGUUGCGCCCGAGGCCAUUCGGCUGAGGGCACGCCUGCCUGGGCGUCACGC
rnacentral:rRNA from 1 species